rnacentral:rRNA from 1 species
AGUGAACGCUGGCGGUAGGCCUAACACAUGCAAGUCGAACGGCAGCACAGUAAGAUCUUGCUCUUACGGGUGGCGAGUGGCGGACGGGUGAGGAAUACAUCGGAAUCUACUUUUUCGGGUGGGAUAACGUAGGGAAACUUACUCUAAUACCGCAUACGACCUACGGUUGAAAGCAUGGGAUCUUCUGACCUUGCGCGAUUGAAUGAGCCGAUGUCGGAUUAGCUAGUUGGCGGGGUAAAUGCCCACCAAGGCGACGAUCCGUAGCUGGUCUGAGAGGAUGAUCAGCCACACUGGAACUGAGACACGGUCCAGACUCCUAAGGGAGGCAGCAGUGGGGAAUAUUGGACAAAGGGCGCAAGCCUGAUCCAGCAAUACCGCGUGGGUGAAGAAGGCCUUCGGGUUGUAAAGCCCUUUUGUUGGGAAAGAAAAGCAGCAGGUUAAUACCACGCUGUUGUGACGGUACCCAAAGAAUAAGCACCGGCUAACUACGUG